rnacentral:rRNA from 2 species
UGCGAAAGGAUCAUUA